rnacentral:piRNA from 1 species
UGACAGAUGAAUGGAAGUGGUUGGAGCCGU